AUCGCUUCUCGGCCCCCUUUGGCUAAGAUCAAGUGUAGAUUCUGUUUUUAUCAGUUUAAUAUCUUUGAUUACGUCCCCCAAUCUGGGACCAUAUAUUAAAAUAUGAUAUUUUUGGAACAGGGAGAUGGAAGAAAAGCUUGCUCUGUCACUCCACGCAUCGACCUGGUAUUGCAGUACCUCCAGGACCGGUGCACCCUCU
ensembl:snRNA U2 U2 spliceosomal RNA